GCCGCCGCCGCCGCCGCCGCCGCCGCCCGCCCGUCAGCGGAGGCAGCAUGGCGGUCGCUGCCUCACGACGUCACUUCCGUGCUGCGCGCCGCCAUCUUGCUACCGGGCAGGGGGCGCCAUGACGGGGCGGCGGAACCCGCGGCCGUUCUGCCGCCUGGUUCUGGCCGCUCUGGUGCUGCUGUCGUGGGGCUACGUGCUGUGCGGGGCGCGGGCCGCGGCCGGGCGGCUGCUGCGGGGCGGCCCCGCGGGGCCCUGAGGAGGAGCAGGACGAGGAGGAGGAGGAGAGAGGCCGAAGGACGCCGCCCCAGGAGCCCCGAGGGCAGGGCCCCGCUGGUUGGUCACCGGGAGCUUCCCGCGGGGGCGGGGGGCAGGGCUGGGGCCGACCCCACCAUCCCCGCACUCACCGGCCGCCAAACCCCGGCCCCGAACACCCCCAGGGGCGGUGCCGCCACCGCCUCCCCGGGCAACGCGUCCUAACAACGCCCGACUGCUCCUUCUGAGGAGAAAUGUCCCCUCAUUUCCCACCCAAACCUCCCCAGCGCAACUGGAGGCCGUUCCCUCCAGUCCUGUCACCAGUUAUUUUUUAGAAAAGGCCGACCCCCCCCCCCCAGCUCCCCACACACUCCUUUGAGGCAGGCGCAGACAGCAAUGAGGUCUCCCCUCAGCCUCCUCUUCCCCAGACCAAACAGCCCCAGUGCCCCCAACUGCUCCCCACAGGACACCAGCACAAGCCUCUGCCCGCCCGGUAGCCCAGCCCAUUCCCAGGGCAGGCUGGAAGUUUGCUAGCAAAUUACAUCGACCUGCACACACACAUUUACUUGUAGCAUCUGGGGGAGACGGAAACACUCCCGCUCACCAAUUCUCAGGCAUAUGUGCUGUGAUCGGCAGUCCUAGUGCUGGCACUGCCUCUGGGUUUACUCACUGCGUUUACCCAGUAACUGAAUCUGGGGUACACGCACCAUUUCUGCUCUGGGCACUGGGGCUGAGCCCCUCCCCAUUACUUACUUCUAUCACUGCUAUCAGGCCUCUUACCUGCGGACAUCUGCACCACAUCUCUACACGAUCUGCAAGGGUCCUCCGUGAUCCACCUUCUAACUGCUGUCUGCGUGUGUCAGCUCUUAGGCAAGGUGGGAUCCGCUCAGAGAGACCAGCUGUGACUCCGGAGUCACGAAAAUGGGCAGCUGGGAGCCGCUUUCCCUUGCUGGGAGCUGCUUACACCCGCUGCCUGACGCUCACUCGAAGAGAGCUCGUGAACUGCGACCUGCCUCGGAGGAGGACACAGAGCUUCUGCCUGAGGCAGCUCAACUGUGACCCAAAACCGUUAGAAUUCUGAAGGGGUCACAAUAUGGGGUGCGGCAGCUCAUUAGCAUGGGGCUGGCAGGAGCAGAAGCCUGAUGGCUCCUCACCCUGACCUGUGUCACCCCUUCAGACCCACAGACCUCCUCAGGCUGGGGAAAAGCCUUCCCCUGCGAGGCUGGGCUCAGCUCCCCGGGCUUCUGCUAGCAGCAGAGCUUCAUCCACCCAGCAGGGACCUUGCUCCUGUGCCCCAAGCAGCAGCCACAGCCCUGGGACUGCCAGUAGGGCUCCUCACAAAUACAUAAAAACUGCCACAGGCUGUGCCAGUGCCCCCUGCGAAGGUGUAUGUGCAGACAGACAACACCCUCUGCCUCUCUCUCUUUUUCCAGGGAGCCUUGUGCCUUCAGGGUAGCUGAGCUGCUGUGAGCACCCUGAGCUGCUUCACCCCCAGGCAGCCACCAGAUGGAGAAGUGCACCGCAGCACCGCUUCCCUGCCGGCCCCACAGGUCUCCAGCAACCUCUGGAGACUCUCAGAUGCUCCCUGCAGUGGGAAGCAGAGCCCACAGCUCUGGAGAGCUGCAAGUAACCAGAGAAAUCCCAAAAACUUGAGGUUUAGAAUCAGCUCAGUUUCUCACGCUGGAGAAAAUCUUCACUCUGACUCUUGUGCCCAGCAGAUGUGCAUUGCUUUAAUGCUGAUGCCAUAGGGAUCAGUGCCCAGGAUUCAGAUCCCGGAUUUAAGAAAUUACAUUAACAGAUACCUAAUUUCAGGAGAAAAGAGAAUACAAACUCAGCACAUCAGCAUUAACUGUUAAAAAUUCAGUUCCUAUGCAGUUUUGAUGCCAGUUGUCUCAUUUAUUUACAUGUACAUGCAUACCUCUCAGGAAAAUUCCCCUGAAGCUGCCCACUUUCAGCACUACCACCUGUGUUGUGUAUUCCAGCUCCCCUUCCCUUCCAAACUCUGUGCUUGGCUAGUCCUGUGCUUGCCUGUGGAAGUCAGGGAGCAUGUGCAAAACCCCUCAGCUUGCACCAGGGGUGUCCCAGGAAGGGCCAGGAGCAGCCAGCUCUCCUCACCCACAAAGAUGCAGUGAAGAUCAGAAAACGUUUCCUGUCCAAAAUGGUAUAGCAAAUAACCAUGCCUUCAGCAGCAUUAACCAUUCAGAUGCAAUCACCAGGGAUGGCUCUUUUGCUAAUGCCUAUCAUCCCUAAAGGAACAUAUUCAUAAUGCCGACGAAAUCCCCUUCAGAUCUUAUUAUUAUGAUGAUUAUGUUAAACAAAGCUUAGCCUGUUUGUGACAGCAGAGCGUGUUUGUUAGUCACGAAGUGUUCUGUUUGUUUGUUUAGGUUUCAGGGGGUUGUUUGGGAAAAUUGUGAUCAGCAUGCUUUUGAUUAGCAUCGCUAAGAGGCACUUUAGCUUAAUGAAAUGAUUAAUUGAUUCAUCCAGGUAUGCAGCCACACUAACAGCUGCUUCAACGGAUGCAAAAAGAUUCCCCUUCAAAUGCGACCUUGCCUCACUAACGUGAGGCAGUACCCAUGGAUACAUGUUAAUUAUAAGGUUGACAGGAAUAUGUAAGGAUAGCUAAUGCUGUAGCUGAAUUACUUAAUGAAGACUGUGGAAGAAAGUCAAGAAAUGGAAACAAAACAGGAAACCGUGGGCUGAAUUCUACCUCAAAACACCUUAAUCUACCAAUGAUAAUCAAUUUCUCCUGAAUUAUAGCAGCAAGGAAGCUGGAACGUAAUGGCUUAAUUCCUGCAUUACAGAUUGUUUGGACGAAUUACACAAGUUCAAGCCACAGUUUAACAGAUCCCUGUUGUCUUAAUAAUAAGUAUUUGCUUUCUAUUUUCCUGUCUGCUUUUUUUUGCAACACUACCUGUAACCUAAAAACUGUAUAAAUACAGAUUUUGGUAAAUAUACACAAGCUCAUAGCAUAGUAAAUGGAAGCCUAAUGACCUUUUAAGAUCCCAGUAGUGACUGUAUAUAAGAUGCCUGUAGUCCUAACGAGAAAACUUAAGAUUUUUGUGGUGAAAGAGAAAAAAUAGUUGUAUGCAUGGUAUAUAUAGCAUGAGACACAGAAUAAGGACAGGAGAGAGGCACAGCAAGUGGAAGACAGCACCGAGACCAGCAGAGGGUGGCAUGUCAGGGGACCCUGUCCAAGAACAGAAGCCCAUGUCGUGAUGCCCCAGCCACCACAGGUGGCUCGGUAAUGCUGCCCAGCGUAUGAAUGUAAUCAGCUAGAAUGAAGCAAAAGCGUGCAACAACCUCUGCAGAAGCUAGACGGCAGUGUGGGCACGUGCUCCGAGGAACAGGCAAGCUACUGCCCGUACUUUACACAGUGGGCUCUAAUUGUGAGUCUUCCAUUUACAGGAAUCGGGUUUGGAUCUCUCAUUCAUCACCUGAAAUAAAUGUCGUUUAGGAUCUCUGAAACUUUAGACUGAAGACCAGAAACUACUCAACUAAAGAGAAAAAGCAACAGCCAAAAAGUCUUAACUAGUGUUCCCCAAGCAGAAAUAAUUUAUCACUUACUUUAACAGUAUAAAGUUGUUGUUUUUUGUUUG